GAAUGCCAGGCAGCAUGUUCCUGUCAGACCUGGAGGGAACAGAGCUCAGGAGAAGGGGGAAAUUACUGAGGGUGAAGGAGCAGAGCAGGGAACAGGUUUCUUGAGUGCCUAUGACAUGCCAGGCAUUCUAGGUGCUGGGAACACCACAGGCUACAAGGAAGAGGAAGUCCCUGCCUUUGGAGAACUACAUUCUGGUGAUUAUAAGCAAGUGAAUAUACAAUAUUAUUUCAGGGAGAAUUUGGACAGCGAGACAGACAUGCACAGAGAGAAGAGGAUGUGAAGACACAGGGAGGAGAUGGCCAUGACCAAUCCAAGGAGCUUAGAACAGAGCCUUUCCUCUCGGACCUGAGAAGGAACCAACCCUGUCUACACUUUGAUCUUGGAGUUCGAGUCUCCAGAACUGUGAGGCCAUAGAUUUCUUUUUUGAAGCCAUUUGUUCAUGGUACUUUGUUCCUGCAGUCCUAAAAAACGAAUACACGGUCCUUAUAGCCAUUCACGUUCCUAACACCUACACCAAUAUUUUCAAUUUUUCCUUUACUUGGUGCCCAGGAGGGUUUUUUAAACCUCCAACAAUGCACUCCAGUAGGACUGGGAAUAAGAGAGAGGGUUACCUUUCUGGUACCUGGAUGGCUCAGUUGGUCGAAUG